rnacentral:rRNA from 1 species
GGAGGGUGCAAGCGUUAUCCGGAUUCACUGGGUUUAAAGGGAGCGUAGGUGGACUUUUAAGUCAGUGGUGAAAUCUCUGGGCUUAACCCGGAAACUGCCAUUGAUACUAUUAGUCUUGAAUUCUCUGGAGGUAAGCGGAAUAUGUCAUGUAGCGGUGAAAUGCUUAGAUAUGACAUAGAACACCCAUUGCGAAGGCAGCUUACUACGGAGACAUUGACACUGAGGCUCGAAAGCGUGGGGAUCAAACAGGAUUAGAUACCCUGGUAGUCCACGCCCUAAACGAUGAUUACUCGACAUUAGCGAUAUUACUGUUAGUGUCUAAGCGAAAGCAUUAAGUAAUCCACCUGGGAAGUACGACCGCAAGGUUGAA